GUUGUUCGGAGUUACUGGGCGUAAAGGGUGUGUAGGCGGUUUUUUAAGUUUGGUGUGAAAUCUCCCGGCUCAACCGGGAGGGUGCGCCGAAUACUGAGGGACUAGAGUACGGGAGAGGAAAGUGGAAUUCCUGGUGUAGCGGUGAAAUGCGUAGAUAUCAGGAGGAACACCGGUGGUGUAGACGGCUUUCUGGACCGUAACUGACGCUGAGACACGAAAGCGUGGGUAGCAAACAGG
rnacentral:rRNA from 1 species